UGCAGGUAGGUGUGACUAGGUGACUAGGUUCAGGCAAUGACAUAAAUGGAUGUGUUCUGUGGGACUCCUGAUAAGGCUGCUUAAAGAGAGCUGACUCAGCAGGAAGUAGGAAACAGCUUUAGUCUUUCUUCCUUUCCUCUUUCCAGCCUGCAACCCAACGUGAUGUGAUGACUGGCACUUCGGCAGCCAUCUUGGAUCAUGAGUCCACACGCCACAUUAGAGUCGUUUCGUCGGCCCACAGCUGGAGGAAAACAGCGAUUCUGGAGUGGGGAGAGCGAUCGCCACAAAGACCCGCUCAAAGAUCCGCAGUCUCCCGCUCCAGCCACUCACUUCCUGGAAGACCACGUGGGAGAGGGAUCUCAG
rnacentral:lncRNA from 1 species